CAAUUGGUAGUAUGAAAUCGACGGUGGAAGCGGCCAGGUUCACGUUUUCGAGGUGCAAUCCAGUUUGAACUCGUCACACUACACGCUCGAUUAAAAGUUCCUAUAACAUUUAAGAAUAUA